rnacentral:rRNA from 1 species
GAGGAAUAUUGGACAAUGGGCGGAAGCCUGAUCCAGCCAUGCCGCGUGCAGGAAGACGGCCCUAUGGGUUGUAAACUGCUUUUAUACGGGAAGAAUAAGGGAUACGUGUAUCCUGGUGACGGUACCGUAAGAA